GAUGAAGAACGUAGCGAAAUGCGAUAAGUAGUGUGAAUUGCAGAAUUUAGUGAAUCAUCGAAUCUUUGAACGCACAUUGCGCCCUAUAGUAUUCUGUAGGGCAUGCCUGUUCGAGCGUUAUUGAGACCUCAAGCUCUGCUUGGAAAUGGGCGCUUGUCUUGCCUUGCAGACUCGCCUUAAAACCAUUGGCAGCUGAUUUACAAUGUUUGGUGCACAGUACAUGAGCCCAAGUGUUGCAAUGAGUGGCCCAAAAGUAUACAAUAGAAGCUUAACCUCGGAUCAGGUAGGGAUACCCGCUGAACUUAAGCAGAUCAAUAAGCGGAGGA
rnacentral:misc_RNA from 1 species